rnacentral:rRNA from 1 species
CCCUUAGAUGUUCUGGGCUGCACGCGCGCUACACUGAUUCAUGCAACGAGUUUUGUCCUUGGCUGAAAGGCCUGGGUAAUCUUUGAACGUGAAUCGUGCUGGGGAUAGAUGAUUGCAAUUAUUCAUCUUCAACGAGGAAUUCCUAGUAAACGCAAGUCAUCAGCUUGCAUUGAUUACGUCCCUGCCCUUUGUACACACCGCCCGUCGCACCUACCGAUUGAAUGGUCCGGUGAAAUCUUCGGAUCUGAGAGAUGUUGGAUUAAUUUCUGACGCCUUUUGGAAAAGUUGCUUAAACCUUAUCAUUUAGAGGAAGGUGAAGUCGUAACA